rnacentral:rRNA from 1 species
UACGGGAGGCAGCAGUGGGGAAUAUUGGACAAUGGAGGCAACUCUGAUCCAGCAAUUCUGUGUGUGUGAAGAAGGUUUUAGGACUGUAAAGUUCUUUCGGUAUUGAGGAAGGAGUGUAUGUUAAUAGCAUACAUUAUUGACGUUAAAUACAGAAGAAGCACCGGCUAACUCCGUGCCAGCAGCCGCGGUAAU